CCUACGGGUGGCUGCAGUGGGGAAUAUUGCACAAUGGGGGAAACCCUGAUGCAGCAACGCCGCGUGAGUGAGGAAGUAUCUCGGUAUGGUAAACUCUUUUAGCCGGGGAUAGAAAAGAAGGUACCUGAAAAAGAAGCCCCGGCUAACUACGUGCCAGCAGCCGCGGUAAUACGUAGGGGGCAAGCGUUAUCCGGAUUUACUGGGGUUAAAGGGAGCGUAGGCGGGAAGGCAAGGCAGGAGUGAAAGCCCAAGGCUCAACCAGGGGCCUGCUUUUGAAACUGGCAAACUCGAGUAGGGGAGAGGUAGGCGGAAUUCGUAGUGUAGCGGUGAAAUGCGUAGAUAUUAGGAGGAACACCAGUGGCGAAGGCGGCUUACUGGACCGAGACUGACGUUGAGGCUCGAAAGCGUGGGGAGCAAACAGGAUUAGAUACCCUUGUAGUC
rnacentral:rRNA from 1 species